CUCAACUAAGCCUUUAUCCCAAGGAAAUUCAAACAAUGAGAACAAAAAGGAUAACGGGAAAAAAAUGAAGCAAACAUAGAAAGCAUCUACCACAAGUAUCCAGGAGUAUACAACCCAUGAAAAUUGAUAAAGUCAACAUUCCACUCCAAUGAACCACAGCCAUCAACCACCCCAUCCCCAACAAAAUGUUUUCAAUGAAUAGAAAUCCACAGAACUGGUUGUUAUUUAUUUAUGGAAAUGCAAUCUGACUGUUAUUUUGCUAUGAAAAUACGAGUACACAGAUUCAGGAUUUCUUAAUUUGGCCAGCUGGUGCAGUCCUUUAUUAACCAAGUUUCAUUUGGAAGUUCCAAACAGAAACAGAUUAUAGAUUCAUAAACUGCCAAACUAUUUGACAUACCUGAGCACUAAGAAAUCGGAGAG
rnacentral:misc_RNA from 1 species